rnacentral:rRNA from 1 species
CGGGGUGCAGCAGGCGCGAAAACUUUACCAUGCUGGCAACAGCGAUAAGGGGACCUUGAGUGCCAGGAUACAAUCCUGGCUGUCGUGAUGCCUAAAAAGCAUUAUAUAGCAAGGGCCGGGCAAGACCGGUGCCAGCCGCCGCGGUAACACCGGCGGCUCGAGUGGUAACCGCUAUUAUUGGGUCUAAAGGGUCUGUAGCCGGCUUGGUUAGUCUCUUGGGAAAUCCGGCAGCUUAACUGUCGGGCUUUCAGGAGAUACUGCCAGGCUCGAGACCGGGAGAGGUGAGAGGUACUUCAUGGGUAGGGGUGAAAUCUUGUAAUCCUUGAAGGACCACCAGUGGCGAAGGCGUCUCACCAGAACGGAUCUGACGGCAAGGGACGAAAGCUAGGGGCACGAACCGGAUUAGAUACCCGGGUAGUCCUAGCCGUAAACGAUACUCGCUAGGUGUCGGCCACGGUGCGACCGUGGUCGGUGCCGUAGGGAAGCCGUGAAGCGAGCCACCUGGGAAGUACGGCCGCAAGGCUGAAACUUAAAGGAAUUGGCGGGGGAGCAC